GUGGGGAAUAUUGGACAAUGGGCGCAAGCCUGAUCCAGCCAUGCCGCGUGGAUGAUGAAGGCCCUAGGGUUGUAAAGUCCUUUUAACGGGGAAGAUAAUGACGGUACCCGUAGAAUAAGCCCCGGCUAACUUCGUGCCAGCAGCCGCGGUAAUACGAAGGGGGCUAGCGUUGCUCGGAAUUACUGGGCGUAAAGCGCACGUAGGCGGGUUCUUAAGUCGGUGGUGAAAUCCUGGAGCUCAACUCCAGAACUGCCUUCGAUACUGGGAAUCUUGAGUCCGGGAGAGGUGAGUGGAACUGCGAGUGUAGAGGUGAAAUUCGUAGAUAUUCGCAAGAACACCAGUGGCGAAGGCGGCUCACUGGCCCGGUACUGACGCUGAGGUGCGAAAGCGUGGGGAGCAAACAGGAUUAGAUACCCUUGUAGUCC
rnacentral:rRNA from 1 species